rnacentral:rRNA from 1 species
AUUGAACGCUGGCGGAAUGCUUUACACAUGCAAGUCGAACGGCAGCACGGGAGCUUGCUCCUGGUGGCGAGUGGCGAACGGGUGAGUAAUGCAUCGGAACGUACCUUUUAGUGGGGGAUAACUAUCCGAAAGGAUAGCUAAUACCGCAUACGUCCUGAGGGAGAAAAGCAGGGGGAUCGUAAGACCUUGCGCUAAAAGAGCGGCCGAUGUUCGAUUAGCUAGUUGGUGGGGUAAAGGCUCACCAAGGCGACGAUCGAUAGCUGGUCUGAGAGGAUGAUCCGCCACACUGGACUGAGACACGGCCCAGACUCCUACGGGAGGCAGCAGU